rnacentral:tRNA from 1 species
AGCAGUGUGGCUCAGUGGAAAGAGCUUGAGCUUGGGUGUCAGUGGUAAUGGGUUCGAAUCCCCACUCUGCCA